rnacentral:rRNA from 1 species
UAAACGACUCUCGGCAACGGAUAUCUCGGCUCUCGCAUCGAUGAAGAACGUAGCGAAAUGCGAUACUUGGUGUGAAUUGCAGAAUCCCGUGAACCAUCGAGCCUUUGAACGCAAGUUGCGCCCGAAGCCAUUAGGCCGAGGGCACGCCUGCCUGGGCGUCACAC